CAUGCCCCAGCUCGUGUUGCAGAUUUGGCUUCGGUGCCAUGUCUGUGUCAUUGGGUGGCAGAGAGGAAGAGGUUUUGUCUUUCCUAGCGCUCCAAAACCUGUGAGCACUCAGGAAUGAUGAGCAACCUGACAAU
rfam:Patagioenas fasciata monilis isolate BTP2013 Sc31e1R_139, whole genome shotgun sequence.